GACGAACGCUGGCGGCGUGCUUAACACAUGCAAGUCGAACGGAAAGGCCCUGCUUUUGUGGGGUGCUCGAGUGGCGAACGGGUGAGUAACACGUGAGUAACCUGCCCUUGACUUUGGGAUAACUUCAGGAAACUGGGGCUAAUACCGGAUAGGAUCUCCUGCUGCAUGGUGGGGGUUGGAAUGUUUCGGCGGUUGGGGAUGGACUCGCGGCUUAUCAGCUUGUUGGUGGGGUAGUGGCUAACCAAGGCUUUGCGGGGUAGCCGGCCUGAGAGGGUGACCGGCCAAAUUGGGACUGAGAUAAGGCCCAGACUCCUACGGGAGGCAGCAGUGGGGAAGAUUACACAAUGGGCGGAAGCCUGAUGCAGCAAAGCAGCGUGCGGGAUGACGGCCUUCGGGUUGUAAACCGCUGUCGCCUGUGACGAAGCGUGAGUGACGGUAAUGGGUAAAGAAGCACCGGCUAACUACGUG
rnacentral:rRNA from 1 species